UCUCUCUUUUACACACAUCCAUCUGCAAAUAAACAACACAAGAUUAUACAUGACAUCAUCAUCUCACAAAAGACAACUAGUGUGUCGACAAAUAGGUAGUGAAUUCCUCUAAACAUAUCUUAUUUUCUACUCUGCUUAUAUUCAAACCUCGUUGCAUGAAUCAAGGGGUUUUGUAUCCCCAUAAAAUAAUACAUUUAAUGUAAUCCUGUUUUGGACUUUGCACCAUUUUUCAAAGAUACGACAAAAG